GCCUCUAUGGCACAGGGGUAAUGCGUGUCACUCGUACAGUGAAUUUAACUUGCGGUGUUAUGACAAGAUCCGCGGUUCGAUUCCGCGUGGAGGCA